rnacentral:snoRNA from 1 species
GUACAUGGAAGAAAACAGAAACACAAAGACCAAAUCUGGCCCAGUGUGCAACGACUGUAGACAGCAGCCUCCCUUGUUAGCAGAUGCAGCCUAUUCCUUGUAUAGGAUGCCCUAAGGGACCUUGGAGACAGCC